GCUCUAGAUCUAUUGAAGAACUCAAUCCAUUUGCAAAUAUGGAAUAAGCAUUUUGUUUUUAUUCCAUUUCUUCAGGCCUGGAGGAGCACUAGAGAUUUGUGCAUACAUGUUUGAACUCUACAGAUAUGAUUGCAAGGUGAUAGGAGGUUCAAGUUCAAUCUUGUUUUAAGGGAAGGAGAGGGCUGGAAAUUCUGAGACAUUGAGUCUAUAGUGUCGAAAACUAGGAAGUGGCAUUAUUUUGACUGAAAAGUUCAAGGGAAAAGACAUUUAUACUCAAGAAGGGAUUGAUGUAGUUCCAGUAGGGUGGGCAAAGCAGAUUGAUGGAUAUAUCCAAGAUUAGCAUGCAUAUGGAGAUUUCUUAUUUGUGGUACUAUGAAGUUAUAUAAAUUUGAAGUCUACUUAGUGUAGUAGCUAGCAGCUACCAACUUUGAAUUAAAUUUGUCAAAAUAGUAGUGGUAGUACAUUUUGGAUCUUUAUUCUCCUUUAAUGAGAUGGACUUGUGGUAUUUGAAGAUUA